CGAACACUGACUGAGGACGCCCUGCAUGUGUGGCGCUGCCUGCAUGGCCUUGCCUAGGAGGGGUUUCUAUCGCACAUCCUUCCUUUCAUUAUUCCCGCCAAGAUUUUCUCCUCUAAAUCUCCAGGACUGACUCAGUCCAAGCCCUGAACAGUGCUUUCAGUGGACUUUCCCGUGAGUCACGGGCAAUGGACCGACACAGGG
rnacentral:lncRNA from 1 species